AAAAGUCUAUCAGCAUGCAAUUCAAGCCAUUUGUUAUCUGACGCCCCCGUUGGGAUCAUCAUAUGUGACAACACCGGUUCUCUCCCUAUUCAGAUAGGGCGUAUCACUAGGUCAAGGGUGUACGGAGCAAUAUUUAUUUCUGAUGAACCUGAAUUAGGCGGUAGUAUGCCCUGUCCAGGUGUUGUGAUUAGUACCGAGGAUGCACCUGCUCUUAUUAAAUAUGCCACAAGUAUUAAGGAUGCUACAGCUAGCAUCAAGUUUC
rnacentral:lncRNA from 1 species